rnacentral:lncRNA from 1 species
AGAUGGAGUCUCACUCUGUCACCCAGGCUGGAGUGCAGUGGUGCGAUCUCGGCUCACUGCAAUCUCCACUUCCUGGGUUCAAGCGAUCCUUCUGCCUCAGCCUCCUGAGUAGCUGGGACUACAGGCAGGAGUCACCAUAAUUUUUGUAUUUUUAGUACAGACAUGGUUUCGCCAUGUUGGCUGGGCUGGUCUCGAACUCCUGACCUCAAGUGAUCUGUCCUGGCCUCCCAAAGUGUUGGGAUUACAGGCAAAAGCCACCUUUCCUUACAGACGAAAGCCACCGGUGAAAGCCGGCCAGGGAAAUAUGCAAAAGAACAUCACAUCAAGGAUCUAUUACUUACCAUCUAUUAAUUACUAUAUGUGGGUAAUUAUGACUAUUUCCCAAGCGUUGUACGUUGACUGCUUGAGAGGAUGUUUGUUCUGCAUGGUGGAGUGUGGAGAAGGGCCAGGAUUCUUAAGUUAAUCUAUCUGUGGGUUAUGACUUCCCACAAUAGCCACCCUGGCCCCUACCAGCCCUUUUAUUGGCUCUGGAUGGAAAAUCCCUACCCAUGUGAUGGUCCCUGGUCUCUCCUAUAGUUUGACCAACAGUUGACCCAAAAGGUUAUGGUCUUUAGUGUUUUAAUUAUAUCCACGACUAGAUACUGGGGUCUGUGUUCUUCAAAGUGUGGGGCUGCCUAUUCUCCCAGGAACCAAAUGGCCUCCGUCUUAAGAAAGUAUGCUUAACUAGGAAAUAUCCUGCCUACCUUAGGAAUAAAUGCAACUUAAGGAAAAAAUAAGAGAGCUAAAAAAGCUGGUGCCAUUUGAAAAAAAAAGGGGAAGGAAUGAGAUUUAACUGGUGCUCAAAGCUUCUUCGAUACAAAAUAUUUGGUCAUGUAUUCAUAAUUUGCUUGACAUUUCCAGCAAAGCUAAGAUGGCAAUAACAAAAGGAACUUCUUAAAAGAGAAGAGAAAGACCGACGGAGCUCCGGAGUUUCUGUUGGAACAAGACUCUUCUGUUUUGCUUAUAUACAGUUAAGUUCGUUUAGUGUCUGAUCCAGUGUCUGAUGUAAGCCCACGUUCUCUUCUUUGGCCUGGGCAAGUUUCUCUUCCAGGUCAUCAAUUGUCUUUUCCAGUUUUGCAACCGUUCUCUCUGCAAAUUCAGCACGGGUCUCAGCCUCUUUCACUUUGUCAGACAGAAGUUUAAUUUCUUCUUCAUAUUUGUCCUCCUUUUCAGAAUACUUUUCAGAUGCAGCUUCCAGCGAUUUCAGAUUGUUAGUAACAUUCUUGAGUUCUUUGCCACGUCACCACAUUUUAGUUCGGACACCUCCGCACGCAUCUCUGCACGCUCCUCUGCCCUCUCCAGCUCACCCUCCAGGAUGACCAGCUUACGAGCUACCUUCUCGUAUUUGCGGUCAGCCUUUUCCGCAAUGUGCUUGGCCUCUUUGAGCUGCAUCUCCUGAAUCUCCAUCUUCUCCUCAUCCUUCAUGGCCCGGUUUUCUAUCACCUUCAUUCCUCUUUCACUCUCAUCUGCAACUUUUUCUGCCUCCUCCAGCUUCUGCAGGGCUGUGGCCAGUCGUUCCUGAGCCCUGUCCAACUCCUCCUCAACGAGCUGGAUGCGUCGGUUGAGGGUGGCCACAUCACCUUCAGCUUUCUCGCGCCACUCGCGCUUGCCGUCCAGCUCCCGCUGCAGGCCCUGCGCGGUCUUCCGCCUCGUCCGCCUGCUACUGCAGGGGCCUGGAUCUUGCAUUUCACCGCCUCCAGGGAGUUGAGGUGGCGCGGAGGCGCGGAGGCACGGAGGCGCGGAGGCGCGGAG